rnacentral:rRNA from 1 species
UACGGGGGGGGCAAGCGUUGUUCGGAAUUACUGGGCGUAAAGGGCGCGUAGGCGGCCCGCUAAGUCGAACGUGAAAUCCCCGAGCUCAACUCGGGAACUGCGUCCGAUACUGGCGGGCUUGAAUCCGGGAGAGGGAUGCAGAAUUCCAGGUGUAGCGGUGAAAUGCGUAGAUAUCUGGAGGAAUACCGGUGGCGAAGGCGGCAUCCUGGACCGGCAUUGACGCUGAGGAGCGAAAGCCAGGGGAGCAAACGGG